CAAUAGCGUAUAUUAAAGUUGUUGCAGUUAAAAAGCUCGUAGUUGGAUUUCUGGAUGGAGCGACCGGUCGGGCAUUAAUUUGUCUGCACUGGAGUCGGUUCCGUCCAUCCUCUUGGAAAGUGCGUCGGGCAUUAAGUCGUUUGGCGUAUGAUCCAAGUCGUUUACUGUGAAAAAAUUAGAGUGUUUAAAGCAGGCCUUCGCCUUGAAUACAUUAGCAUGGAAUAAUAAGAUAGGACUUUGGUCUAUUUUGUUGGUUUGCAGACCGAAGUAAUGAUUAAUAGGGAUAGUUGGGGGUAUUUAUAUUCCGAUGUCAGAGGUGAAAUUCUUAGAUUUUCGGAAGAUAAACUUAUGCGAAAGCAUUUACCAAGGAUGUUUUCAUUAA
rnacentral:rRNA from 1 species